CUUGGGGGGCAACUCUCAAGUCAGUGGCGAACGGGUGCGUAACACGUGAGCAACUUGCCCUAUGGUGGGGGAUAGCCGGCCCAACGGCCGGGUAAUACCGCAUAUGGCGCCGAGGUCGCAUGGCCUUGGUGGGAAAGCGGCCGCAAGGUCGCGCCAAAGGUGGGGCUCGCGGCGUAUCAGCUAGUUGGCGGGGUAAUGGCCCACCAAGGCUACGACGCGUAGCUGGUCUGAGAGGAUGGCCAGCCACAUUGGGACUGAGAUACGGCCCAGACUCCUACGGGAGGCAGCAGUGGGGAAUAUUGCGCAAUGGCCGAAAGGCUGACGCAGCGACGCCGCGUGUGGGAUGAAGGCCUUCGGGUUGUAAACCACUGUCGGGGGGGGCGAAUACCUGGCUUCGAAUAGGAGACCAGGGGUGACGGUACCUCCAAAGGAAGCACCGGCUAACUCCGUGCCAGCAGCCGCGGUAAUACGGAGGGUGCGAGCGUUGUCCGGAAUCACUGGGCGUAAAGGGCGCGUAGGCGGCCGUGUAAGUCACUUGUGAAAUCCCGGGGCUCAACUCCGGGGCUGCAGGUGAGACUGCAUGGCUAGAGCUUGGUAGAGGCGAGUGGAAUUCCCGGUGUAGCGGUGGAAUGCGUAGAUAUCGGGAAGAACACCGGUGGCGAAGGCGGCUCGCUGGGCCAAUGCUGACGCUGAGGCGCGAAAGCGUGGGGAGCAAACAGGAUUAGAUACCCUGGUAGUCCACGCCGUAAACGAUGGGUACUAGGCGUCGGGGGGAGCGACCCCCUCGGUGCCGUCGCUAACGCAGUAAGUA
rnacentral:rRNA from 1 species